rnacentral:rRNA from 1 species
AUUGAACGCUGGCGGCAGGCCUAACACAUGCAAGUCGGACGGUAGCACAGAGGAGCUUGCUCUCGGGUGACGAGUGGCGGACGGGUGAGUAAUGUCUGGGGAUCUGCCCGAUAGAGGGGGAUAACCACUGGAAACGGUGGCUAAUACCGCAUAACGUCGCAAGACCAAAGAGGGGGACCUUCGGGCCUCUCACUAUCGGAUGACCCCAGUUGGGAUUAGCUAGUAGGCGGGGUAACGGCCCACCUAGGCGACGAUCCCUAGCUGGUCUGAGAGGAUGACCAGCCACACUGGAACUGAGACACGGUCCAGACUCCUACGGGAGGCAGCAGUGGGGAAUAUUGCACAAUGGGCGCAAGCCUGAUGCAGCCAUGCCGCGUGUAUGAAGAAGGCCUUCGGGUUGUAAAGUACUUUCAGCGGGGAGGAAGGCGAUGUGGUUAAUAACCGCAUUGAUUGACGUUACCCGCAGAAGAAGCACCGGCUAACUCCGUGCCAGCCGCCGCCGUAA